GAAAGGCGCGCGAUACAGGGUGACAGCCCCGUACACAAAAAUGCACAUAUUGUGAGCUCGAUGAGUAGGGCGGGACACGUGGUAUCCUGUCUGAAUAUGGGGGGACCAUCCUCCAAGGCUAAAUACUCCUGACUGACCGAUAGUGAACCAGUACCGUGAGGGAAAGGCGAAAAGAACCCCGGCGAGGGGAGUGAAAAAGAACCUGAAACCGUGUACGUACAAGCAGUGGGAGCCUCUUAAUGGGGUGACUGCGUACCUUUUGUAUAAUGGGUCAGCGACUUAUAUUCUGUAGCAAGGUUAACCGAAUAGGGGAGCCGAAGGGAAACCGAGUCUUAACUGGGCGUUAAGUUGCAGGGUAUAGACCCGAAACCCGGUGAUCUAGCCAUGGGCAGGUUGAAGGUUGGGUAACACUAACUGGAGGACCGAACCGACUAAUGUUGAAAAAUUAGCGGAUGACUUGUGGCUGGGGGUGAAAGGCCAAUCAAACCGGGAGAUAGCUGGUUCUCCCCGAAAGCUAUUUAGGUAGCGCCUCGUGAAUUCAUCUCCGGGGGUAGAGCACUGUUUCGGCAAGGGGGUCAUCCCGACUUACCAACCCGAUGCAAACUGCGAAUACCGGAGAAUGUUAUCACGGGAGACACACGGCGGGUGCUAACGUCCGUCGUGAAGAGGGAAACAACCCAGACCGCCAGCUAAGGUCCCAAAGUCAUGGUUAAGUGGGAAACGAUGUGGGAAGGCCCAGACAGCCAGGAUGUUGGCUUAGAAGCAGCCAUCAUUUAAAGAAAGCGUAAUAGCUCACUGGUCGAGUCGGCCUGCGCGGAAGAUGUAACGGGGCUAAACCAUGCACCGAAGCUGCGGCAGCGACGCUUAUGCGUUGUUGGGUAGGGGAGCGUUCUGUAAGCCUGUGAAGGUGUGCUGUGAGGC
rnacentral:rRNA from 1 species